GUGAGGAAUAUUGGUCAAUGGGCGGGAGCCUGAACCAGCCAAGUCGCGUGAAGGAAGAAGGAUCUAUGGUUCGUAAACUUCUUUUGCAGGGGAAUAAAGUGCAGGACGUGUCCUGUUUUGUAUGUACCCUGAGAAUAAGGAUCGGCUAACUCCGUGCCAGCAGCCGCGGUAAUACGGAGGAUCCGAGCGUUAUCCGGAUUUAUUGGGUUUAAAGGGUGCGUAGGAGGUUUGAUAAGUCAGCGGUGAAAGUUUGCAGCUUAACUGUAAAAAUGCCGUUGAAACUGUCGGACUUGAGUGUAAAUGAGGUAGGCGGAAUGCGUGGUGUAGCGGUGAAAUGCAUAGAUAUCACGCAGAACUCCGAUUGCGAAGGCAGCUUACUAAGCUACAACUGACACUGAAGCACGAAAGCGUGGGGAUCAAACAGGAUUAGAAACCCUUGUAGUCC
rnacentral:rRNA from 1 species